UUUGCGACAAGCCUGCGGCUGUUAAGUGACGAAUGGGACCCUAGUGCUUUCUCUUUGCAGUAUGGCUCCCCUACCCGUAUGCAGGAGAGUCUUGAGCUUCCGAUGUUUGGUGGCGGUACGGGGGAAUUUCUGGGCAAGUGUGGUUAUAGUUGUCUAUUGUUAGUUGGGUUUGAAGGAUUUUAUCGCUGAAUGCUUUUGUCGUUGUUCAGGUGGUUCUAUGAUAGCGAGGGGACGAUCGCUAAAAGGGUCAACGUUUGUCGUCGCCACACUGCCCGGCCGGACCCACACAAUCUGGCGCGUGGAGGCUUCGUGAAGCAGAGUGCAUUUUUGUCACUUUUACAGUCGAAUAAGUUUGAGUUGUGGGACGAGAGAGUACUGACGCGCCGCGGUCGCAAGUUUUAGUCAACAACAGUACCUGCUGCACUUGGGCGUGCGAUAUUUUGAGGAGUUGAUAAAUGUAAUAAUUGAAAUCUUUCUACAUUUCAUUCUUAAAUUCACGAAGGAGAAAGCGCACAACCUGGCGUUGUUAACGUACAGCAGCCUUAGUGCGCGCGCGGAUGGUUGAAGUUAUAUAUUUUCGAUGAGUAUAGUGGCAGUGGGAACCAUUUUGCUGCAAGUUUUAGCAAUCUGAGAAUAACAGCUGGGCCCGCACAGCUAAGCAGUAAUCAUUGUACGACCGGGCUGCCCGCACAGCCAGAAUAACGCGUCCAUCCAGGUGUUAUAGCGCGUGC
rnacentral:lncRNA from 1 species